UGCGGUGCCCUUUGUCGACCCCGCCGUGCGGGGCAGGGAAGGUCAGGAUUGCGAAGAGCCAAGUUCAAGCUCCGAUAACUCUCCGAGCCCAAAGAGGGUGGGGCGGGGAGGCGUGACUGCCCGUGAUGCUGGUGAGGGGAGAGAGGGAGUGCUGCACCUCUGGGGAAAACAAGUCAGCUCUGUCGUGGAGCUAGUGCACGCGUUCAGAGGGCCUUUUGCAAUUAUUCUGCUUCCAACCCGCCUGGAAUCCAGACGGUCCCACCUAUCGCACUGCUACAGCCCUAGACACUUUUUGCCCCAAGCUGUGCAAGUGUCUCUUCCCUGGGCUUACCUCGCCUAUUCUCAGUGCUGCGGACCUAAUGAAUUAAGGUCCGUCCUCUGCUGAGAAGCCCAGACAGCAUCUCGUGUUUGAGAUCCCACUUUCUUCACACGGAGUCGCGUUCCCCGCCGCUCCGCCCCAAAGCCGCCUGGGUUCCAGUUAGCCUUGCCGAAGACUUGCUCUGCCUGGCGUGUACUUCCUCUCAAAUGUUAAUCUAUGAAGCCUCACCCUCAAACCCUGAGGCAUUUAUUACAACAUCAUUUCUCAUGGAACAAGAAGGAACGUGGACUUUCAUGGUGCAAGCCUUCCUGAUGUUUCCCGGGUUUCAAUGGCCCAGGCAGAUAAAGGAAACUCAGCAAGGUCAGAAGAAAGAAGAACAGAUCUGUCCUUAAGUGGGAAAAAUAACCGUGUCCCAAGUAUACAGAAGGGGAACAAAUGAAGUAUUUCUGAUGCUGAAAUUGGUGUGAAUGCCAUGAAAGCCGAGAUGCAGGUGGAAAUUCAGAGAUAAUUUUGUCAUCUUGAAAGCCAAUUACUUGCUCCAAUGCCACAUUUCCAGAUCCAAGGUCUGAGGACAAAUUUAUCUCCCGUAAUCAUGU